AAAAAGAGUUAUGCUUAGUCCAGGCUACGACUUAAAAUUAUAAGGGACUAUAGGGAUUCCACAAAAAUGAAAAGACUCAACCGAAAAAAUAACAACAUCUGUGGGGAUACAAAUACCUCAGGGUAAAACUGAGGUAAUCGAAUUGUGUAGGGAAAUCAAUUUCACUGAGGAUGAAGAACGGUGAAGAAUGAAGAUACUGUAGUUUUGACGCUGACUCAUGAGGGGGUGGAUGAAGAACGGGAAAGCAAUUUACCUAUUCGUGUGCCAUGUGCUUGUCAUUAUUGUUAUUCUAGUUUGACGCUGAUUCGUGAGGGGGUGGAUGCAGAACGGUGAAGAAUGAAGAUACUGUAGUUUUGAUUCUCGGUGGCGAAAAGGUGAGAACCUCCUAUUUUCAAAUCAAUGUCUCUGCUAUCUUCUCCCUUCUCAUCCUCUCUUCUUUAUCUGAAAUGUUUUUGUUUCUUCUGUGAGGUUGCUGCUAAUCGCUCACUCAGAGGUGGUGAGAAGCAAAUGCGAUUUCGGAGGCUUUUAUCUUCGUGGUUGAAAAGAUCGAACGAAACAGCAAUUCAGAGGUUAUGUGAGCAUUCAGUUAUGUAAGUUGAGAGAUUUAAGCAUGGUUAUUGAAGAGGAUCGAGAAACAGUUAGGGAGGGUUUUGCACGGGUUGCAGAAUGGAGAGGAUAGAAGGUGAUGAAGUGGAAUGUGAUUUUGAGGGUUAAGUGAGGGAAUGAAUGAAUGAUUUUAUUUUUUGAAGAAGAUAGAAGGUUUGAAUUUAUAUCCUUUCCCAAAUCUCUUCCUCUACUUCUUUUUCUGAAUGAAUUUGUUUUUUGUUUUGGUUUUUUUUUUCAGUUUGCUGAAUUCAGUUAGGUUGUUAAGAAUCGGUUAGAGGUCAUUAGUGAUUCUGUUAGGAUAUUUUGAGUUAGUUAGAAGUUUGUUAUAUGGUUAUGACAAUUUUCUGUUAUGAACCGUUUUAGAUCAAUGCCUUGUUUUUUGAUACACUUCUAGCUAAUGACACAGGUUGAGUCUGUAUUGACCAUGUAAGAGCAUUCACCAAUGAUUGGUUUGCCAAUGAAUUUGCUUGGACUCUAUAGUGAAGUAAAACUCUCUUUUCAUGAGAUUGCAAUGGGUCUGUCAUACCAAUUACUGAUGUGAGCUAUUUUGUAGGGUAACAUUAUAUGCUGAAGUUUGGAAUGCACUAAAUUUUGUGAAGACUUAACGCCGUUAGUGUUAAAACAUAAGCAUGUAAGUCGUUCGACCCGGUUAUUUGAAGGUUAUUGAAACUCCUUUGGAAACUCUCUAUUGUAGUUAGCUUGGUGUUGUAUGUUGGUGACAAAUGAGCAAAUGUAAAAAUACUGUUACAAUCAAUUUGUGAUGAGUUUGGAAUGAAAUUAUUAAUCUAGGCCAUGUGAAAUCCUACUGCGUGGUAUACGAAAUAGUUUAUUUGUCGGUUGUUGCAUAGUGAGCUACUAUGACUUAUUAUGUAGGGAAUAGUCUAUGUUCGACUUGUUCAUGGUACAUCAUGGCGCUGAAUGAGAAAGCUUGGAACAUGGUGGACGGUCGGGGUUUUAAUGAUGCUGCCAGUUCGUAGAGUGCGCGGUUGCCAUGAGUAGAGGUGGUUUGGCCUUGAAAGGCUCACUAGUUUUUUGGAGUUUUAAAAAUGGUUAGUUAGUAAGUUGUUAUGGAUUGAAAAAUGUUGAAAUGUUAGCUUAUUGUACUGCCACUUGAAUUAAUGCUUCGGCUUGGUUCGUAUCGGUUUUGCAGGUAUGAUGUUUGACACUGCGGAAUUGGUAUUGCAUAUGGGUUUUCAGUUGGAAGUUCGUGGUUUUGAAGAUUUUCACAUCGCCAUUUUGAGCUGUUGCGUGUUGGUUGUAGCUUCCCGCAUUUCAGCAUAAACUUUAGUAUCAAACAGUAUCUCAAUCUCUGGUUGAAGUUCUCUUAUCAUCUCAUACAUGUCGAGAAGAACAAAUAGUUUUUCAGGUGACCUCUUGAUUCUGGAAACAGCCUCUCCGAAACCUUCCAUUGCAUUUUUUUUGAACAUCCUCCUUAUUCAGCCUCUCAACAACUAACUUUCUUACACUUUGCUCUAGGACUGCAACACGUGUGUCUGUAUAGAUUCGAAAGAGCUGUUAUUGAUGGCUUGCCUUUCUCCAGAUUUCUUGUAAUUUAUUUUCUUUUCAUAUCUGCAGGUUCUGAAUUAUUUGCACUGAUGAGAUUUCUGCCAAUGCUAAAGGGCUUGCAUACAUGAUCGGUUACAUCAAGUUUUCAACAAUAUGAAAUGUCGUAUUUCAAGCGGCACUACGACAAUAGCUAGAUCUGCUUCACUUUGAUGGUUUGAUAUGUGUUGAUGUGGAAUCCAAACAAUUUAUGGCUUGAUAUAAUUGGAAUGAAUUGGCUUUAUAUGAUUAUAAUAUGGUUGGAAUUGGUAAUGAAAUGUAAUAUGGUUUGAACUGGUAAUGAAAUGUAGCAUGGUCUGAAUUGGUAAUGAAAUGUAACAUGGUUUGAAGUCAGUGAAAAAGGUUGUUGCAUUGGCAGCAGGAAAAAGUUCUUGUCUUGAAUCUAUACUUGGAUAUACAUGAACAACCCCAUCUUGCAUUUUAGAGUAGUGAUCAGAUUUUCCUUCAUGGGUGUAAAAGAAUAGCUCUGGGUUAGGUUUUGGAUUUGGGAAUUGGGUUAACUAAAUGGAUAUUAGGUUGGUUUUGUGAAUGGACUUGAACAUCCGAUAUUGAUUUAGGUAAAUGGAUAUUGGAAAUGAAAUAUUGGAGUUAGAUAAUUUGGAAAAAUGAAAUGGAUUUGGAUAGGAAAAAUGG
rnacentral:lncRNA from 1 species